rnacentral:rRNA from 1 species
UGGCAGAGCGCUGGCGGCGUGCCUAAUACAUGCAAGUCGAGCGAAUGGAUUAAGAGCUUGCUCUUAUGAAGUUAGCGGCGGACGGGUGAGUAACACGUGGGUAACCUGCCCAUAAGACUGGGAUAACUCCGGGAAACCGGGGCUAAUACCGGAUAACAUUUUGAACCGCAUGGUUCGAAAUUGAAAGGCGGCUUCGGCUGUCACUUAUGGAUGGACCCGCGUCGCAUUAGCUAGUUGGUGAGGUAACGGCUCACCAAGGCAACGAUGCGUAGCCGACCUGAGAGGGUGAUCGGCCACACUGGGACUGAGACACGGCCCAGACUCCUACGGGAGGCAGCAGUAGGGAAUCUUCCGCAAUGGACGAAAGUCUGACGGAGCAACGCCGCGUGAGUGAUGAAGGCUUUCGGGUCGUAAAACUCUGUUGUUAGGGAAGAACAAGUGCUAGUUGAAUAAGCUGGCACCUUGACGGCACCUAACCAGAAAGCCACGGCUAACUACGUGCCAGCAGCCGCGGUAAUACGUACGUGGCAAGCGUUUAUCCAGAAUUUUGGGGCGUAAUCGCGCGCCAGUGGGUUCUAACUCGGAGCGACAGCG